GCUAGGAUAGUUUAGCAAACAUUAGGCCGUGACCCUAAAAACAGAGACAUUCUCUUCCUAGCC
rnacentral:tRNA from 1 species